GGAGAGUUGGCUGAGUGGUCGAAGGCGCACGAUUGGAAAUCGUGUGUACCCUAAUUGGGUACCUAGGGUUCAAAUCCCUAACUCUCCGCCA
rnacentral:tRNA from 1 species